GGCAAAGCUAAGGACACGGAGAAUGUUUGCCAAGUAAUCUAAAAGAGGAACUGGGAUUGUGAUCCAACUGCGAUGAGAAGGAAAACUUCACCAAAAUACCCAAUGAGUACAGUGAUGGUGGUAGACCACCUCAAGGAAGAAAGAAAGGUUGGAGUUCUUUCCCAGGUAAUUCUGGCGAGAGGAGCCCUCAUUAUGAACGCGAUGGGUGUGAGCCUCAGCCUUCAAACCUC